rnacentral:rRNA from 1 species
GUAGGGAAUAUUGGGCAAUGGAUGCAAGUCUGACCCAGCCAUCCCGCGUGCAGGAAGAAGGCCUUCGGGUUGUAAACUGCUUUUGUACGGAACGAAAAGGCUCUGGUUAAUACCUGGGGCUCAUGACGGUACCGUAAGAAUAAGCACCGGCUAACUACGUGCCAGCAGCCGCGGUAAUACGUAGGGUGCAAGCGUUAAUCGGAAUUACUGGGCGUAAAGCGUGCGCAGGCGGUUUUGUAAGACAGACGUGAAAUCCCCGGGCUCAACCUGGGAAUGGCGUUUGUGACUGCAAAGCUGGAGUGCGGCAGAGGGGGAUGGAAUUCCGCGUGUAGCAGUGAAAUGCGUAGAUAUGCGGAGGAACACCGAUGGCGAAGGCAAUCCCCUGGGCCUGCACUGACGCUCAUGCACGAAAGCGUGGGGAGCAAACAGGAUUAGAUACCCGGGUAGUCC